AUCCACUAGGCAUCUUUAUUACUAAGUAGUUUCGUACCACAGUAUGUGGUACUCUUCAGAUAAAUUGACCUAAUGACUAUAGACUAAAACUUACAAGGUUAUAUGUACAUGUGGAUGAGACAUUGUUAGUCAGUUCUUUACAUUGCCAAAACCAUUUGACGCUGUUCAUUCAUUCUACGGAUGUACUUGAAAUUUUUUUAUCUAAUAAACGAUCGAAAAUCUUUUUUAAUCAUCCGUUUCAUCUGUGGAGAAUCUAUGGAAGUUCAUUAUUGCACUGUGACAAGUGAGAAUAAACAUCUGCUAUCAACUUGCAUAUAGUUAAGCGUAAACAAAUAGUUUAAAAGGUCCACAACACAAUAAUU